AACUUUCUUCGGGGAUGGGUGGAAUUCCCUAUCGACGGUAUAGCCCGUGAGCCCUCCGGGGCAGGAAUCGGUGAAAUUCCGAUGCCGACAGUAAAAGUCUGGAUGGGAGGAGAAGGUU
rnacentral:ncRNA from 2 species